AGCUUGAAACACAGGCUUAUGGGCUAAUGUUUAUCCAAAGUUUCCUGAUAGGAACAGCCAAAUUCUUAAUCCUUUCGCUCUGCAAUGUUGUAUCGAAGGAGAAGAAAACAGAUGUAAGGUGAUGUUUUUAGCCUUGGAUGAAACACUGGAGAACAGACACAUGCUUAGCUGCUGCUGUUUUAAGUAUCAUCCUCCAGCUUCUUGCUAAACCCAUAGAGGAUAGUGGAUAUAAGAAAUAGAUAUUUGUGCUACCUUUGAACUUUGGCAGGAAAAGAACAUUUUGAAUCAUUCCUCUAAUUCCCCAUGAGCACCCCAGAAUAUUUCCAUGCUGUUCUGCUCUUUAUCUGCCGUAUGUAUGACCCUGGAUGCCUGCCCCAUGCUUCUGCUCAUGUUUCCAAGACAAUAAGGAUAAAAUCACAAUAUCUCCAGAGCUAUGAGGCUUAGUAAUACCUUUUUAAAGAUUUCCAAACUCUCUUCCCAACUCCUCUGUCCUAACAGGGAAAAGUGUUCUCUGAUCACACCUAUCUUCUUCCCUGGCUGUAUCUACUCUCUUUUUCUCAUGUGUGUUGACUAAGACUAGCAUCAACAGCUAAGGUCCUGGAAUUGUUUCAAAUGAUUCAGGAGAUCUAAGGUUGACAUGGACAAGAGGGAGGCAGCUCUACCAAACACCUCUACGAAACUUGAUAGAAACUCCUUGGAAAAUAGUAUUGAAGAAUGCUUAUCCAGGACAUGAAGACAUAUCAUAUCUGUGGAUCAUCAGGGAAGCUUUCCCAAGACUUUGGAUUUCAAAGCUACAGGUGGUCUGCAAGUAUGGCAGUUCAAAGUGUGUUUUGAUUAAAUGAAACAAUGUUUUUGUAAUAUGGAUCCCAGAUCUUUGAACUUUUUUCAGAUCAAUUCAGCCAACAAAGAUUCAAUUAGUUUCAGCUUUAGCUUAAGAGAUGAUUGUCCUGAUGCGAGAUUUUCUAAAAUGACAAGAGGAACAGAUUGAUGUGAUAAAUGCUACAAUGACCUGUACAGCUGCACUCCACUUUACCAAUACAGAAAUCAUUCUACAUAGUCCAUCAAGUAAAAAUAUGGCUUUAUAUGGGAAGAAUCUGAAAAUCC